CUUGCCCAAGUGUAUAUUCCUGGCUCCUUUAUUGUAAAUUAAUUGACCAUAUAUACAUGGGUUUAUUUCUGGGUCCUCUAUUCUGUUCCAUUGAUCUAUUGUGUCUGUUUUAUGCCAAUAUCAUACUGUUUUGAUUACUAUAGCUUUAUAAUAUAGUUUGAAAUCAGGAAGUGUGAUGCCUCCGCCUUUGUUCUUCUUUCUCAAGAUUGCUUUGGCUGUUCAGGGUCUUUUGUGGUUACACAUGUGGACGAAACUGGGAGUCCUCUCUAUUGUCUAACAGGUGAAUUGAGCAAGCAAGCUGCAUAGGCUUAAAGUCAGUACAGAAAUCCAUGCUGUACUGUGAAGCAGCCAUGCAGGCCUCAUAAGCCUGUGUCUAAAUGACCUUGAAACCCCUCAUCUGAGGACUGAAGAUGCCAGCAGGAUGAAUCAGCAACAGGAAAGAGGAUAUUUGUGGUUCACAGAAACUCUAGGAGGACUGGGAACCCAGGAUUGGUGGUUCUGUAGCCAGGAACAAAGCCCAAAAGCACACCCUAGAGCUGAGCUGGUGAAGACGCCACAGUGGCCACUAGGCCCAAACACUGUAGCUCGUGUCAGGGAUCCCCCAACCUGACACUGGAUGCCUGCCUCUGGAUCCACUGCCACUGCUACUCUGGGAACUGGAUGGAGCUGAGGGGACUGCAGCCGCCUUACUAGAAGAGAUUCCACACAGCCCCUGCUUCUUUACGUCUGUAACUUCACACCCACCAUCGUUUUCUGAGGAACCUGCCUCACCCAGCCCACUACUGAGGGAACGUGUGGGAGUCAAGCUAUUCUAUAAACAGAGGUGGCUACUGGUUGGACCAGCCAUGGGACCUGAUUCGAGAACCACAAACCCACAGACUGGCCUGUGAGAAUGAGAUUGCUCAGCCGUCAAAGCUCUGACCAAUCGGCAUAAUGAAAGCUAUUUGAAUCAAUUUGGCUCUACUUCUGAAAUCUGAAAUUUGAGAAAAUAUUGAAAGACUCACUGGUUGGCAGCAGGGGGAGAUAUGAGAAGACACACGAGGAGAAACAGAGAUAAGAGAGAUGAAAAACUCCCAUUAAUAAUGGGAUAAUAAAUGACAAGGGAUAGUGAAAUAACCUCAGCCCCAGGCUAGCCUUGCAUUCUGAAGGAUGGCUGCUCUGAGAUUUCUGUGAAAUUCUCUUUCCCUCAGUGCUACAUGUAUCCUGCUUGAG
rnacentral:lncRNA from 1 species